rnacentral:rRNA from 1 species
UAUCUCUGUAGAGUCUGCAUAUCAAUAAGCGGAGGAAAAGAAACUAACAAGGAUUCCCUUAGGUAACGGCGAGUGAAGCGGGAAGAGCUCAAAUUUGAAAUCUUCAAGGUUUUGCCUUGACGAAUUGUAGUUUAAAGAAGUGUUUUCUGUUAGAGGAGUAGGUAAAAGUUCUUUGGAAUAGGACAUCAUAGAGGGUGAGAAUCCCGUAUUUGACGUAUUCUUUCUAGCUGUGUGAUACAGCUUUCAAAGAGUCGGAUUGUUUGGGAAUGCAGUCCAAAAUGGGUGGUAAAUUUCAUCCUAAAGCUAAAUAUUGGCGAGAGACCGAUAGCGAACAAGUACCGUGAGGGAAAGAUGAAAAGAACUUUGAAAAGAGAGUUAAACAGUACGUGAAAUUGUCAAAAGGGAAGCGUUUGACACCAGUGUUGUUUUCUCGAAAAUCAAUUAAAAUGAUGGCUUGAUUUGUAGUUGUCAUGACCUUAUAAGCUUGUUAGCACUUAUUUUUCAUGUCUUUCGUAAUGCACCUUUCGGUUAACAAGUCAACAUCAAUUUCUUUUGUUGUAAAAGGUUAAGAGGAAGGUGGCUUUACUUUCGGGUAAAGUGUUUAUAGCCUUUUAACUCUGCAAUCGGAGAGAUUGAGGUCUGCAGCGUAGAUCCUUCGGGGUUAGAUACAUUUGUGCUAAGUUAUAGCUUUUCAUAGACAACUUGUUGACUCUGUUAAGUCUUGUAAUUUACUCGCAGAUGCUAUUUUACCUACGCUUAGGAUGUUGAUGUGAUACUGCGAGCA